AUGGAGAACAAAGUACAUUGGAUCGGCUGGCCUAAGUUGAUCAAGUCGAAGGGUAGAGGAGGACUGGGGUUCCGCGCUAUUCACUCCUUUAAAAUAGCCAUGUUAGCUAGGCAAGCUUGGAGACUACUACAGAAUAUGGUGAGUCUAUCUGCCCAAUUAUUAAAGGCUAGAUAUCAUCCCGAGACAAGUGUGUUGGAAGCACGGAUGGAGGGGAACAUGUCAUACGCAUGGCACAGCAUUCUGCAUGGUUUCGACCUGGUGAAGAGAGGAGUGCUAUGGAGGAUUGGAGAUGGCGCAAAUGUUGAUAUUUGGAAGGACCCAUGGAUACCACGAGCGUGGACACGUAGAGUUAUCACACUAAGGGGAGCCAAUAUUAUGACCAAGAUCUCAGACCUAAUUGAUUCGGCUACUGGACAAUGGGAUGAUGAGUUAGUAAAGGACACCUUCUAG
rnacentral:rRNA from 1 species